UGAGUGAGCUCUUUUUGUCUGCAAUCAUGGGCUAGAGCGAUCUUCCAUGCACUAUUUUUCAGUUCUUGGGCAUCCUUCCCCAAUUUUCAAGGAUAAGUCCUAUCGAAGAUUCUAGAGCUAACCACCACAACGCGAUUCGAGCUGCAAAUAGGAUGACCUAUAGGCUGGAUUAAGAUGGAGAACUGAUAGGUACGGAGAUGGCGAAAGAGAAGGGAUACAAUGGGAGGUCGAGUCAAUGUCUACAAAGUGGGGCUUCGUGGACGUAGACCCCAGAGUGUGCUAGUAUGUUAUGAUUUUAAUUAAUGUUCUACAUCGGCCAAGUUUGAGCUUGGCUGUGUACUUUAUAAGCUCCUGGGUACCCUUUCCUUGCAAGCUGGUUUUCAAGGGGAGUUCUUCCGAGAGCUUUGUAUCAUGAGCGUUUCUAAACCAAAAAAGUUUUGGGGCUAUUUUUUGGAUCCACAAACACAAUAUACGUUCUAUGUUUUAACUCUUCGCAAAGCAAUCUCCAUUUACCAUGGAAAUUUUUUUUUUUUGUUUCUUGAGAAGGCUAUUUGUGCACUAUAUUCUAAAAU